rnacentral:rRNA from 1 species
CACGUAGGGGACGAGCGUUGUCCGGAUUCAUUGGGCGUAAAGGGCGUGUAGGCGGUCUGUUAAGUCAUGUGUGAAAUCCCUCGGCUCAACCGGGGAACGACGCAUGAAACUGACAAGCUAGAGUACCAAAGAGGGGGGUGGAAUUCCCGGUGUAGCGGUGAAAUGCGUAGAUAUCUGGAGGAACACCGGUGGCGAAGGCGGCAUCCUGGACCAUAACUGACACUGAUAAGCGAAAGCCAGGGGAGCAAACGGG